rnacentral:lncRNA from 1 species
GUCAUAGGCCCUGGGUUGGAGAAGUCAAAACAAAGGUCACCAUGUUGUUCUGAGCCUAAGGGGUCUUUGUGAGAUCUUGCACUACAAACUGCAGCCAAGGGGAUCCCGAAUGGGCAAGACUUGAUCCUCAUACUGGUGAAACCUCCUGAGUCCCCAGGGACCCUGUCAGACCAGGCUCCAGCCUCCCUGCGGUCUCUGAGAGAGAAUGUGGCUAGUUCUGCCCCACGGCUCCCUGGCAGUCCAGCGGUCAGAAGUGGCCACGCAGAACCCAACAUUCAGCCUGGGUGCAGACACUGCCUCUAGCCUCCUCCCCAAGCACUCUCCUAGUAUGGCAAAACAGCCCUUGAGAGAUUGCAGAAAGCCAUCAACCUUGAAGAUAACAGGAGCCCUCCCAAGGAAAUGUGUUCAGGAGACCUUCUAAGACCAUGCCAUUUCCUGGGUCCCUCUCCCAGUGGGGAAAUUCUCCCAGUAGCAGAUUCUGGCAGACAGCAGAGACACACUCUAUGCCCAACACUAGGCACCGGAUGGAUGAGAUAAUCAUAAAUCCACAAACUGCAACAAGAUAAAAUUAUCAUUAGAUGAAGUUAAAUUAUUAAUUAGCACCUCCAAAAAAAGACCGGCACCACCUGGGCUUGAAUCUUGGAAGCUGUCUUUCUGAAAGCAAGAGAAACAUCAAAAUAGUUUAUCGAUGCUCUGUGGUGUGGGUAUAGCCUAUGGUUCCCAGAAGCCUGAUGGUCAGAGGUCCCACCAGGCAGGCCUGCCCCGCCUGCCCUCUUCUUGCAGUGUUGCCAGAAAUAGCCAGUUUGGAUAAUGUUACUAGGGAAAGGGAAGCAACUAAUGUGACCCAUUUUUAUGACUGGAGAAACUGAGGCAAAGGACGAGGCAGAAAGGCCACAGAAGAUGGCUCAGGGUGGGCUGAAGAAUUUGUGUACUGGGUUGGGAAGGGGUAGGUCCUCAGAUUGCCUGAUUAUCUAAGGACUAAGGAACACUCAUUCGUUCAGUGCACUGCUAUUUUGUGCUUACUAUGUGCCAGGCACCCGGAAUACAGAGGAAAAAGCCAUAAUUCCUUGUCCUUAAGCACAAUGUCUGAUGGGCUAGUCUGAUGAAUCAGCUGUUUCUCCUCUCUGCCUCCCCAGCCUCAAGUCCUAGGACUUAGCCUCUUUAUCAUCAGCCUUGUUUCCAUCAUUGUCAUCAUCAUCCACUACCACCACCACCAACUCCUACAACCCAUAUUUAUUCAUUGAAUCCUGGAACCACAGCAGCUAAUGAUGGGGGAGGAGGCUUUAAAGACCAUCUUUCUAGCCAGAACAUCAAUCCUUGCUACAGAAUUCCGUGUGAAUUGUGAUCCAGUAGAACACUCCCAGCAAUAAGCAGCUUACUCACUGCCUCAUAAAUCAGCCCAUUGCAUCUCUGGAGAGCAAUUCCUCACUCAUUCAUUUAUUCAUUCAUUCAACAAGCAUUUACCAAGCAUCUACUAGGAGCCACCUCAGUACUAGUUCUUGGAGGUACCUAGUAAAAUGUGAUCCAGUACCUUCUUUAAAAAUCUCCCAGGAUGAUGAGAAAGGCAAACAACCAACCAAGCAAUGACAAUCCAGUGUGGUCUGGAGGUUGAGCACUCAUUCCACCCCAGCACUGUAGACGUCUGAUCUCCAUUGCUCUGUGCACAGCAGCCCUGUGAGGCAGAAGCCAUCGCUCUCCCCAUCUUACAGGUGAAGAACCUUCAGCACAGGAAGAUUAAGUAACUUGCCCAAGCUUAGUCAGCUGUAAAGUAGAAGGGUCAGGAUUUACACCUAAGCUGUCUGACUCCAGAGUUUUGUCCUCUGCCCCUUAUAUGAAAUGUGUCAUCCUCUUGUUGAUUGAUGUAGGCCAGCCUGCCAAUCAGCCCGCUGUCCUGAGCACCGAUGGUAUGCUCUGUGCAGGUCUCUGCGCUUGAAGGUUGGGGAGCUCUCACCCCGAGGCAUCCUCUGCUCCCCUGGGCUCACAAUGGGCAGAUCACUCUGGAUCCAACAGGACGUGGGUGUCAGCUUGAAUGGAGAUGAAGACAGAGACAACUCUGUGUUCCACAUGCUUCCUCCACGUGCCCUCCAAAUGGCACAGACCGCAUGGCCCAAACUCUCCUCCAGCCCCAAUAUCUACCCUGGCUCCAGCCAAAUGAGGCCUGAAUAAUUCAUGGCCAAUGCGCAUGGCCCAGUCGUGGAGCAGCUUUCUGGUGGCUAAAUUGGAGAGCAGGGUGGAGGCCAGGGCAGCUGGACCUGGGAGGGGGCUGUGGUGGGGUUUUG